UACGUAGGGUGCAAGCGUUGUCCGGAAUUAUUGGGCGUAAAGAGCUCGUAGGCGGUUUGUCGCGUCGAAUGUGAAAACCCGGGGCUCAACCCCGGGCCUGCAUUCGAUACGGGCAGACUAGAGUUCGGUAGGGGAGUCUGGAAUUCCUGGUGUAGCGGUGAAAUGCGCAGAUAUCAGGAGGAACACCGGUGGCGUAGGCGGGACUCUGGGCCGAUACUGACGCUGAGGAGCGAAAGCGUGGGGAGCAAACAGG
rnacentral:rRNA from 1 species